rnacentral:rRNA from 1 species
CAGUCGCCACGGUAAUACGAGGGGGGCAAGCGUUGUUCGGAAUUAUUGGGCGUAAAGGGCGCGUAGGCGGUUUGACAAGUCUGAUGUGAAAUCUCUGGGCUCAACCCAGAGUCUGCAUCGGAAACUGUCGAGCUUGAGUAUGGGAGAGGUGAGUGGAAUUUCCGGUGUAGCGGUGAAAUGCGUAGAUAUCGGAAGGAACACCUGUGGCGAAAGCGGCUCACUGGACCAUUACUGACGCUGAGGCGCGAAAGCUAGGGGAGCAAACAGGAUUAGAUACCCGCGUAGUCCCUGUCUCUUAUAC